GCCGUUCAAUCAAGGAAGAAAGAGCAACAAAUUGUAUCUGUUUUUUUACAGGAUUAAAACAGAGGUUAAGCAAAUAAUCCUUAUAAGACUUAAACUACAAAGCUAAUAAAACCAGAGAGAAAAAUAAUAGAUAAGAAGAUAGAAGGAGUCAACUUACUUAAGGGAGUUAAACAGAAGAUUUAGAGAGAGAUUAAGACAGGAAAUCUAACGUCUCUGUUGUGCUGCUGUGAUAUGCUCUGUUUCAUAAAAAAGGGUUCGUUAAGUUUUCUGGUUUGAGACAAAAAGUGGAGACGGAGAUAAGAAGUUUUUUUGCUUAAAGAUUUGGAAGAAGGUACGUGUCUAGUUUAUUUGUUUUCUUAUUCUUUUUUUUUUUUGCUGACGAUCUUGGACGUAUCUUAACUUGAGUUAAAAGAAAAAAAAAGAAGAGAUAAAGAUGUUAUGUAUAUAGUAUAUUUAAUUUAUAAUUAUCUUCCAAAAAAUAUGUAAAUAAUUUUUUUUUGUCUAAUUUUUUUUUUGAAUAGGAAUAAGUAAAUUAUAC
rnacentral:lncRNA from 1 species